AAGGUAAUGGAGAAGCUAUCAUGCACCUGCUUUGGCUCCCUGUGGUAGAUGAGGAGAGCUCUCUUCCAAUUAUGCAGCUGCUGUUUGGGCUGUUCCUUGUGAAGAUGACCCUGAAUUUGUCAUGUCAACAGGGGGCUCCUUCCUUCUCUGAGGCAUCCAUUUAGAGGUCUGAACAUCAGGAGCAUAAUGGCCAUUGACAAUGAGCUGUCAAUCAAGUUUUAGAAAGAGCCAUCAGCAGCAGGCAGGAGAGAGAAAGAUUCAAGGAUUUCCAGUGAAAGCUGAAAAUAUCUGUAAUGAAAGGCCCAGUGAAAUCUUUUCCUAAUGAAAGCACCAACUUGUAACCAGAAACUGUGUGCUUUCAGAGUGCCUUAGCCUGGUACUUUCCUGAUCACUCCCAGCUAAAAGAUGAUGUAUCUUGGACUCACACUGCAACUUAACUGGGGUCCAGAUGGCUUUCUGCACAGUGUUUUAGAGGCUACAUUUGAAUACAUAGAUUCCUCUUGACUGAAAGUGGUUUACAUAAAGCACAAAUGCAGUGUGUGUGAAUGAUGUUGGCUUCAGUCUGUGCCACGUAGCCUCAUGAUUUAAGUGUUUGACAAGAUCAGAACAAACAAAGGGAGCAAAAUGCUGGCAUGGGUUCCUUUGAGACAUAGUCAUUUUUAAAUACUAAAGGUUAUCCAAUAAUCUCCAACUCCACUUUCAUCAUUGGUUUUCAUGAACUAACUUUCAAGGGAAGAAAAGUGUCCAGCAUGGGGUGAAGAGACAGAAUUUUGCUGCUAAAAUGGCAAAAAUGUUUAUAAAAUGUAGGGCUGUAUAUCAGCCAUCUAGGAAACAGGUUAAACCUGUAAGAGGGAACCUAUCAAUAUCUUGCAGGUCUGGUUUGUCCUUUUCUCAAUCUUGCU